UACGGAAGGCAGCAGUGGGGAAUAUUGCACAAUGGGCGCAAGCCUGAUGUAGCCAUGCCGCGUGUAUGAAAAAGGCCUUCGGGUUGUAAAGUACUUUCAGUCGUGAGGAAGGUGUUAAGGUUAAUAACCUUAGCAAUUGACGUUAGCGACAGAAGAAGCACCGGCUAACUCCGUGCCAGCAGCCGCGGUAAUACGGAGGGUGCGAGCGUUAAUCGGAAUUACUGGGCUAAAGGGCACGCAGGCGGUUAAUUAAGUUGGAUGUGAAAUCCCCGGGCUUAACCUGGGAAUGGCAUUCAAGACUGGUUAGCUAGAGUCUUGUAGAGGGGGUAGAAUUCCAUGUGUAGCGGUGAAAUGCGUAGAGAUGUGGAGGAAUACCGGUGGCGAAGGCGGCCCCUGGACAAAGACUGACGCUCAUGUGCGAAAGCGUGGGGAGACAACGAGUAUAGACUACC
rnacentral:rRNA from 1 species